GGGGUAAAAUUAAUAAAUUAAUUUUAAUAAAAAAAUUUUUAAUAAAAUAUUUUAAAGGGGGGGUUAAAGUAUAUUUAUAGAAAAAAUAAAUUAAUUUAUAGUUAAAUAGUAUUGUAAAAGAAUUUUGAAAUAAUUGAAAAUUAAAUUUUUUUAAAAGUAAUUUUUAUUUAAUGUAUCUUGGGUAUCAGAGUUUAUUAAAAAAAAUUAUUAAAUAAAAAAAUUCUCGAAUUUAAAAGAGAUAAUUAAUUAAUAAAGUUAUUGUAGCAUAAAUAUUUUAAAUAAUUAAUUGGAAAUGAAAUGUUAAUCGUUUUUAAAUAUAUCUAGUUUUUUUAGAAAAAAAUUUAAUUUUAUAUUAUUUAAAAAAAAAAAUUAAUUAAUUAAUUUUUUUUUUAAAAUAAUAAUAUAUUUUAAGGGAUAAGCUUUAAUUUAAAUUUAUAUAAAUAAAUUGAAAAAUUAAAUUGAAAAUUUUAUAAUUUAUAUUGUUAAAAAAAUUUAAUUUAUUAUAAAUAAUUUCAUUUAAAAUAAAAUUUAAUAAAAUUUUAUAUGGUUUAUAAAAAAAAAAUUUUUAAUAAAAUAAAAUUUGAUAUAAUGAUAAAAUUAGUAUAUAAUAAAAUAUAUAAAUGAAUAAUUUAGUAUAAAUAAUUAAUUAAAAGGAAUUCGGCAAAAAUUUAUAUUCACUUGUUUAUCAAAAACAUGUCUUUUUGAAAAUAAUAUAAAGUCUAAUCUGCCCACUGAUAUAAUAUUAAAGGGCUGCAGUAUAUUGACUGUACAAAGGUAGCAUAAUCAUUAGUCAUUUAAUUGAUGACUUGUAUGAAAGAUUGGAUGAAAUAUAAACUGUCUCUUAAUUAAAUAUAGAAUUUAAUUUUUAAAUUAAAAAGUUUAAAUAAUUUAAAAAGACGAGAAGACCCUAUAGAGUUUUAUAAAUUUAAUGAUUAAGAUUAUUUAUUAAAAAAAAAAUUAAAAUUAAUAAAUUUAUUUUGUUGGGGUGACAAAAAAAUAUAAAAAACUUUUUUUAAAAUAAAACAUAUAUAAAUGAUUAAAUGAUCCAUUAUUAUUGAUUAUAAGAAAAAAUUACCUUAGGGAUAACAGCGUAAUUUUUUUUUUUAGUUCUUAUAAAAAGAAAAGUUUGCGACCUCGAUGUUGGAUUAAGAUAAAAUUUAAAUGCAGUAGUUUAAAAUUUUUGAUCUGUUCGAUCAUUAAAAUCUUACAUGAUCUGAGUUCAAACCGGUGUAAGCCAGGUUGGUUUCUAUCUUUUAAAAAAUAAAAUAUUUUAGUACGAAAGGAUUAAAUAUUUAAAUUAAAUUUUUUAUUUUGAAUUUUAUUAAAGAUAAUUUAUAAAUUUAUAAUAAAUAAAUUAAUAUAUAUAUAUAUAUAUAUAUAUUU
rnacentral:rRNA from 1 species